CAGCCGCCACGGGAAUACGAAGGGUGCAAGCGUUAAUCGGAAUUACUGGGCGUAAAGCGUGCGUAGGCGGUUUGUUAAGUCUGCUGUGAAAUCCCCGGGCUCAACCUGGGAAUGGCAGUGGAUACUGGCAAGCUAGAGUGUGUCAGAGGAUGGUGGAAUUCCCGGUGUAGCGGUGAAAUGCGUAGAGAUCGGGAGGAACAUCAGUGGCGAAGGCGGCCAUCUGGGACAACACUGACGCUGAGGCACGAAAGCGUGGGGAGCAAACAGGAUUAGAUACCCCCGUAGUCCCUGUCUCUUAUAA
rnacentral:rRNA from 1 species